rnacentral:lncRNA from 1 species
UCCUCAAGGAGCAGUUGUUGUAUGACAUCGGGAUAAAUCUGACUAGUCACUUAGGUAGAUUUUCUUCUGUAAAUCUUCAAAAUUCUUCUUUCUUUCUUUUCUUGUAGACUAACUCAUCUUUUGUUGUUGUCUUGUAGGCAUGAGGAUCUCAACCGAAUCCCUCUAGCAUACUGUCAAGAAGAGAUCGGGAUCCGAGCUUGGCGGACCUUCUUG